GAGAGCCUGAGUUGGGUGUGGACCUCAACACUUCCUGAAAGUGAAAACUGAAAGUGUUUGGACAAACUGAGGAGAAAAUCAAGAUUUCUGUUAGAGAGAAAAGAGAAGAGAAGGGAAAAAGGAAGAAGAGAGGGAGAGAAAGAGAAAAGGAGCAAGAUUUAGCUCUAGACUUGAGCCAAUCUGUUACAUUAAGCAAUUUUAAUCUCAGUAGGUCUGUUUUCUCAUCUGUAAUUUGGGCACAAUCCUGACUUCAUGGUGCUCCAGUGAGCUUUGGGAAUAAUCCAUGUUAGCACUCAUAGCGUGGAAUCACCAACAUUUUUUGAGUGCUUACUAUGUCCUAGGCCCUGUUCUAGGUGCUUUUCAUGGAUUCAUUAAAAAAAUCAUGAAUUUGGCACACGUAUUAUCCUCCUCUUAGAAUGAGGAAAUUGAGAUACAGAGCAGUUUGUAAGAACUUAUGUGUAAGUCCACACAGCUAAUGAACUGGGGUUCUAACCAAGGUAAUCCGGUUAAGAGCCCAUGCUCUUUGCUGCAAAUCCAUGUCCUUAACCACACUGUACUGUUACCUUAAUAGGAGAAAUAUGAAGCUAUUGUGUGAUCAAUUCUGUCAGUACUAUUAUUCCAUGUCACUUUUAUUAAAAAUGAGAAAAAGAAAUUGCUAUCAAAUAAAUAUAUCAUGUUUAGUAGACAAAACUUUUCAAAUCUCAGGAUCUGUGGUGGUAAAAUGGUUGGUAAUCAUUGCACUGUAAUGGGGAAUUUGACAUUUUAUAGUCAGUCAUUAAUUUAGCUACUAGGAUGACUCUGAUAUAAAUGGACUUCCUAUCAUUCAUUCAUUUUUUCAAUCAUUCAUUCAUUCACCAACUACAUGUCAAGCACUGCACUAUAUGCUGUUAUGUGAACAGAUCGCUAUGUCAUCAAGUCAAAUACAGUGUUAUUCUGAAACCACAA